GCACAUUCUAUCUUGAUGUGGCUCGUUUGUGAUAAACCUAUUCCAAAAUUCUUAGUGAACAGCUUUGAGCAAAAGCUUUAGAAUGUGUCUCUGUAACCUGUUGCCAGUUCGCCAUCACCAGAAAGAAAGUAAUAAGCUCAGGAAAAAUUAUCGCUGACACAUUUUGGCACUUUGUGUGUGGACACCUAAAAAAACAAAAAGAGGGCUCCAAUCCACGCUGUGAAGGUGGUUGGCCAGUGUAGCUGUGGUAUCAGCUCAGGAUGUCUACCAACCGGGAAAACCGGGAAUUCUCAGGGGUUUUGAAUAGUCUGGAAAUAGUCAGGGAAAUCUCAGGGAAUUUUUGCUCCGAUCAGGGAAAAUUUGGUGUUAUUUUAUCGAAAGGGAACGAAGGUCGCGAUAACGCUAGCUGACUCGAGUAAAACAGAGGGGAAUAGUAAUGAAUCGUCGUUGACGUCGUGUCGACGGCUGGAGGAUUGCCAUUGUACAGUCAACGGCCGACUUCUGGACGUCCGACGGCUUCGUGGCACCACCACCUAUACCAUAGGGUCAAUAAUUUAUAAGAACGUCUGAAAUUUCAGACGCAAGAACCUUUUGCUGUCCGAUUUUCGGGACUUUUUGCCGUGACCGCAGGUCUGAAACGGCAUUAGUCAAAGCCACCACAUUCGAUUUUGAGUAUCUCGCCGCCUCGAACCGGCACUCCCAUGCAGAUCCGCUGGCAGCCGUAGCCAUCACCGCAAAAAACGCCAGGCGUAGCUGCUUCCACGUUCGCUAUUAAGUUUCUUGUCGUUUGGUGCCGUGUUCUUUAUUUAAAGGAUUCGCCCCUGUCAGCAAUGGCACCGACUCCGCCUUUCUGGUACUGGCGAUUGACUUCGGAGGUCGGAAAGCACUGCGCGUUGCAUAAAGCCGGGUCCCGAAAGUGAGCUCUGCCUCAUUACAGAAUUGUUACGCGGCGAAGAAUAACAAGCAUGCGAAGGGGCGAUUGUCACGGGACACAGUACGCAUUCCUUAAUUAUACACGCGUGCACCCGCCAUCUCCUGUCAAAGUGCGAGCACCGAUAUGCCUAAUAAGUGUACUGGCUGUCCUUCAGAGCUUUUUCGGAUGUGUCUGUAGCAAUUUUGAGCCCUCAAGAUCAGUAAAAGACAUGCAUUCAAUUUUUUGUCAUCCUCCCCUUUUCGAAAUGUCCGGUUUUUCGGACGUUUUCGUGGCCCCUAGGGAGUGCGAAAAAUUGGACGUUGACUGUAGAACUAACCAAGAGCAUGCUUGAAAUGGUCCGUGUUGCAAACGCACGGCGGAAGGACGAGAACAGAAAGGACCUAGAUAUUGAGGAAUGAACGGGAAAGGAAGCGUGCCGCCACUUCUUUGAAAGAGCUUGAGUUCAAAAAGCAAAGUGUUGGUUUACGCUGAGAUGCAGGUUUCCCUCAUCCAAACCAAUAUAAAAUCUUUAACCCUUUGAGGGUCGAAUUAUAUUGAAAAAAACUUUCCCAGGUGGUCAAAUUACUUUAUUGCGGAUAUUGAAUGUACAAAAUGUAUAAAGUCGGGAAUAAAUAGUAAAAAAUAAUUAGGAACAGUAUUUUGGUGUCGGCAUCACUCAGAACUGCAAAAUGUUCCAUAGUAUUUCCGAGCGUGAUACUCCUUGAAACACAGGUCUACGCACAGCGCCUUAUCGCAGUCUGCACACCUAAAAUGCGUGUCUGUUCUCUUGGAGCGUGUCUUAUGUGUAGGCGCACACAUGACAUCUCUGCGUGCGGCUGCCUUGGGCAGAGGUCUGAGGCACCCUCUCGCGUAAGCGCGCUGCCGCGGAGAGCGAGAAUACCUCGCGAACGGCGCUGAUAAGCAAGUGGUGAUAAACAAGCUAAGAGCAGUGCCAAUCAAGAUAGAAAUCAACUUCCGCCGCCCCUGCGAGAGCGUGCCGACAAAGAGAAAAACCAUGUUUCACGUGCCUUCGUUGCGAUCACGCGGCGGAACCGAAACCGCGUAAGCGCGUUGGCACUGAGAGCGAGAAUACCUCGCGAACGGCGCUGAUAAGCAAGCUAAGAGCAGCGCCAAUCAAGAUAGAAAUCAACUUCCACCGCCCUGCAAGAGAGUGCCGACAAAGAAAAAAAUGGCGUUUCGCGCGCCUCCGUUGCGAUCACGCGGCGAAACCGAAACCGCCAAAGGGGCAUUGCCGCAGUCUGAGCGACGCGCUGAAGCUAGCAAUCAGCUCUGUUUAUCUCCCCAAGAAGGUAGCACCAAUUUCAAACGCAUCUUGUAAGUGCUAAGAGGUGGCAGCACCUCCCGGUGAGGACGCAUCGUCAUUAUGGCGCGAAAUUCUAAACGGAGGGUCGGAACCGUACCCGUACGGCGAAGACCUUGCGGGACAGAAAACCGCUGCCGUACAUGUACGGCUAAAACCUUCAAAGGGUUAAAUCAGUGAAAUGUAACACUGGGGCAUUGUGCGGGGGCCGAGAGUAUGUCAGGACAGUUGAGGUUGACUUUAUUACCAGCCAUUGAGAGAGAAUCUCAUUUGUGACAAAGUUCGGGCUUGCUUGCUAUCAGUUGAUAGAAAGCUUGCUAUCAGUUGAUAAAAAUGGUUCAUAUUCAAAAAUAUUUCAUUCGGUAUGCAUCUCCUUCUUAUUCGUAUUUGAGAAUGUUCAACUCAGUUCGCAGUGGGCUUUACCAUUCUUUUCGAAGGUAUUUUAUUCACUGUGCAGUUUACUAACCCUUUUCUUCUGUUCUUUUUUUAAUAAAAUAAGCAUUCAAACUGGAUUAAGGGGGGACGCGGGUUUUACAUAGCGAAAAAUGGCCAAAAAAUCGAUUUUUUGAAAAUCACAUUUUCAGUUUCUAUAACCCUUUUUCUAUCUGAUACCCAAAUACCAUCACUGUAAACCACUUAGAAGUACUCUAAAAAAUUCGUUUUAUCGGCCAAGGUGGCGAAAAAUCUCGCGGAAAUCAAGAAAGAACAGCGUUUUUCACGCCACAAUAUCUCCGGAACGGCGCGACCGAGCGCCGCCAUCUUGGUCUCGUUGGAAAGCGCAUUUCUCCGUCUUCAAAUUUGCUGCUUCAGCGAUCUCCUCCAUACAGAAACAAGCACACAAAAAGCAAAUGACUGAAGGUCAUGCCGGAGUCUGCGAUUGGCCGCGCCUGCCACGUGACUCCAGUGCGGUUCGCCAUUGGUCCGGCGCUCGCGUCGUCUGCUCGGCUCUUUGCACCUCGCGAGUUUGAUGUCUCCACUCGCCGUAAUCUCGACGUGUCAAAACGGGCGCUACGCGGACAUCGCAGUAGCGUGGCCGAUCCCUACGCUUGUGGACGUUUCAGACUCGCGGCUAAGCAUUCCGGGCAUCGGCGACACCGACUUCGCGACCAAGAUUCACGCGCGGAAUCUUCGGACAUGCGGCUAAGCCUUUCAGCACUCGGUGUUUCGAAUUCGUGACAAAUUCGUAUCGCGCACGCAAUCUUCGGAAACGCGGCUAAACAUAUCGCGUAUAGGUAGUCUCAGACUCUGCGAUCAUGCACAUCGCGCGCGGACUUCUCGGACCGUCACGUAAUCAUUUUGUGCAUCGGCGCCUCCGACUGCGCGAAUAAGCGCAUCGAGUAUCGACUCCUCGAGCCCGCGGCUAGGAAUUUCGCGCGUCGGCACAUAGGACUGCGCGAAUAAGCGCAUCGAGUAUCGACUCCUCGAGCCCGCGGCUAGGAAUUUCGCGCGUCGGCACAUAGGACUGCGCGAAUGAGCGCAUCGAGGGUCGACUCCUCGAGCCCGCGACUAGGCAUUUCGCGCGUCGGCACCUUGAACUGCGGGACUAAGCACAUUGCGCGUCGGCUCCUUGUAUAUGCGGCUAUGCAUUUCGCACAUCGGCACUUCGGACUCGCAACCAAGCACAUUGCGCGUUCACUCUAUUAUCAUAUUGUCAUGAUAGCUCCUAACAGUAUCUAUCAUACCACCCCUUCAUAAAGAGAACCUCAUCAUGAGCUCUGUUCACUAGGCCCCUUGGGCUGGCACACACCUGGCUGCAGAAGUGAUCGAGGCAUCAUACAAAAGUACAAUUCUGGAAAGCACCUAGCAGCUGCAUAUCUAUCACUGGCUCUCUGAUCCUAAGUUCCACAGCCACUGUCAGGUGAAGAUGACUUGGAAGGCUACUUACACUCAGAGCCUUCAUUCAGUAACAUGGUCAGUUAUACCAAAUGAAAAAAUGCCUCACUGAGUGUAAUGGAGACUGCUAUCAAUCAGGCAGCCUGCAUGUACAACACUGGAACUAUAUUCAUGCCCACACAGAGUUCUACCCUUCGGUUUGAAACCCAGGCACCAUGCUCUUGGUAGAGCAUGGUGCCUAAUAAAGUUCCUUGUGCUAGUUCAGUGGCCAGUGUGCUAUUAUUUUGAGAGUGUGCAGUCACACAUUUAGUAUGGCCAUUCUUACAAAACAUAGAGCUUCAAAACGGUGCCAUUUGUAUUGCUGUAGAUUCUCUUCAGCAAAAGCUACAUUUGUUUGCAACUUCAAAUGCGUUUAUUUCAGUUCGAUGUUUUUGCACACUGUACUCCGCCUUACGGGUGUUUUUUGUGGGUUGUUUUUGCCCAAAAAUGACAAGGGUGGUAUCAUUUUAUUCGUAUUGAAAUGAUCUGGGGGUGACGCUAUUUUUAUUACUCUUGCACCGUCAUGAAAAUUACAUUCAGGUAUAGUAAUCGCUGCUAAUUAGAAAAAAAAUGUUCAUAAUAAAUGCAAGAUUGUUUUCUUGUCUGCAAAAUGCUUCCAUAUGAAUAAAAAUAGCAUCGCCCCCUACAGUAGGUCUUUAGCAAUGGUGUCAUGCAUUUAGUUUUUGGUUUAGCAAGACGGAAUCAUCACAAAGCCCCGUAACGAGUUUGAAAUUAAUUUGACUUCAGACCUCAAUAUGUUUUGAACUGCUACAGCUAUCAGAAAUCUAAUUACAGAUCUGAAAUCAGCACGAAAAAUUACUUCAGACAGUGGAGUUUAUUAAAGAUUCACCCAAAAAUAAGAAAAAAAUUUCUAGAACCCACCUCCCCCCUUAAGUCAUGUUUAUUUUAUAACGUGCUUACUAGAGAGGGAUAGGAUUGGGAAACAUGGUGUGAACCCGUCUCGACACAAAACAAAAUUUUGUUUCACUCAGGGAAUUUUGUAAAAGCACUCAGGGAAAACCUGGAAAACUCAGGGAAUUUGGAAAUGUCAACUUGGUAGACACCCUGCAGCUGAUCCGAUAGACCAGUGUGACGUAGCCUUGAAUUGGGUCCUGUCGAGCUUGGACACGAUGCUGUUGUGCAUAUUGACUUUGCUGUUCCUUUUGUUGCUUAUCGUAUUUGUGCUGCUCUUCAGGUGUAGUAACUGUGUGUGGCUUGCUUUGGGCACGAGCUGCUGUGUCCUGCCUAACCUGAGCACGACGCCGUGGUGCAUAUUGACGUUGCCAUUCCCAUCGCCGCAUGCUGCUCUUUUGGAGUUCUAACUAUGCGUGGCCUUUCCAUAGCCCUAUCAGAACACAAAUGAAAUCAAUUGGUAGGCGGGUUCUUCUUCUACAUAUGAAAGUGUAGUGACGUCACUCCCUGCUUCGUAUGGUACAGUUGCCCCUUCCCAGAAAUCGCAACUUAUACAACCGUAAUCUUUACCGGGAAACACUUGCGGUGAACACUAUGCACGAGGGUGAGCUUCCUGCUUCUUUAUUUUUUCUUUUCCUGCACGGCCGGCGCCGCCGCCGCUGCUGCGGAUGCGUGGAGGUGAGCGCCAUCUGGUGGUGCUGCAAAGAACCCAGCAGUGCACAUGCAUCUAGGGACAGCGUUGAAUAUUGUGGGCCACUCACCGACGCUGUCGUCAAUGCCCCACAGUCAUUGCCGAGGCAGCCUCGUGUCGGCGCUCUUCGCUGCAUGCUGGUUGAAAAGCACUUCAAGAGGAAGGAGAAAAAGACAUUGCAAAAUACACCAAGCAAUAAAAAACAGAUUUCAGUUAUA